rnacentral:tRNA from 1 species
GCCCUAGUAGCUUAGCCACUAAAGCC